AUCAUCUCGGAACAAACCGAAAUCUUUUGUUUCCGACCACGCCGCACCUCUUCUCGACCUCCACCUGCCCACCUUAAAUCCGCCCUUCGGUACGUGCAUCCGUACCUACAUCAUCUCCUCUGGAUGGAGUAAUAUUGAAGAGAGUGAAUGUGUCUUUCUUAGGGCCCAACAUUUUGUAAGGUUGUUUCUGCAGGAAGUGAUAUGGGCAGG